UUCUUUGUUUUCACUGUCUUUAACCAAAACCCAGACAUAACACGAACUCGGUGCUUCUGCCAAGUCAAAUCAGAGAUGGGUCUGAAGAUGGAGUGUCGAAUCAGAGAGGGGUCUGAAGAUGGAAUGCGAUUUGGGUCUUCAAGUAGAAGGAAUUUCUCAACACCUGAAGCUUGAAAUUUUCUGUAUUGCUUCUUCCUGUGAGAAAUUGGGAAUGUUGACUGGAGCUUUGCAUGAUCCAAUCUAAAGACUCCGGCGCUUCGUGGGUGAGGCCAGAUCCAUUUUAUCACCUAAUUCAGUUGUGAAUUGACAACUCUAUGAAGUGGAGUCCAGCAGAUUUUGACAAGAGGCUAAUAUAUUUGGCUUAUGCAUGAUUCCAUUGUCUGCUAUAGCCACCAUUCAUUUUUUUCUUCUUUUGCUUUUGCUUUGCACUUUGUCAUCUUCUGCAACUAUCUAGAGCACUUUGUUAAUCAAGCUCUUUUGUUUUAUGCAUAGCUUAAUUAAUCUAUCUCAUGGCCUGCACAUCACCAGAGCACUCGUUCUUUGUUUUUUUCUUUAUACAUAUAUAUAUAUAUAUAUAUAUAUAUAUAUUGCUUUAUGCUUUGUCAAGUUCUGGGAUGGUUUGGAUCACAUUGACCACACUUAAAUUAAAGCUCCAUGCCCAGAUAAAAGUGCCACCGCCAAGACUUUUCUCAUUUGGCUUUUAUAUUGGCACCGCAUCGAACCUUUUUGGAACACAAAUAUUUCAAAGCUGCUGCACAUAAUUGAAUUUUGAAGUUUGUUUAGUCAAGUCCACCGUAAAUUUUCAUUUUUCUUUCUUCCCUUGACACACUGCACCCACAAACACAUACUUGUCACCUCAUGAGAUCAAGUCUAGAAUGUUUCAAUUGAUUGUCUUGGCCUUUUGCAAAUAUAAGAACCUGUGCAUCAGGUUUGUUUUGGAAUUGGCUGCUACCAAGUGUGUGUGCUUAAUUUUUGACAACUUGAGGCUCGCAUUGCAAUUCCACUGCCCAGCUUCUUUCUUACUUGUCAUCUUUUAGUGUUAAAAGCCUCAGACCCUUGGAAUUGGAUGCUUCAAAGCUUGUAUUUAAUUUUAACAAGUUUGUUAACUGUGCAUGUUCAAAACGAACCAGGUGAUAGUGGUCACAGCAGUGUUGGAAGUCUCGAAGCUUUAUUUUAAGGAGUUCCCUUCUUUUUAUCAUCAUUUUUAAUUUGAACCAAGACCCCUAUGAAAGCAUGGCCUGGAUGGUGAUUCACACGGGGUCCUCUGCCAGUUUCUGGAUGUAUUAACCCAAACUUAAGUCUUGAGGACUAUUUCGGCACCCAAAGGCACGCCGAGUCAAAGCUCUAAAACAGUAUUGAUACCGUAAGGCACCACCACUGGAGCUUCGAUAGUAGUUUCAACACCCUAAGGCACGCCGUGCUGGAGCUCAACGACAAUAUCGACACCUUAAGGCACGUCGUGUCGGAGCAUGAUAUUGAUACUCUACGGUAUCGCUGGAGGCCUGCAUCAUUUGAGAAUAGCAAAGGAAAAGGUGCACAUCGGUGGUGAAAGUCUCACCCUCUUUUUCCUUGCUUUCUUCCUCUCCUUGGCUGCUAUCCUCUGCUUCUUCACAGUCCUCUUCACGCUGCUAUCCUCCUCACGUUCGUCCCCCCUUUUUUUUUCUUUAUGCAGUGCUUUUUAUAUUGCACCGAUCAUGAGUUUGGUUUGUAUAAAACAUAGAGUUUUAGAGUUCAACUUGGAGUGAACUACUUGGGGAACUUGUAUUCCGUGAAGACUACAACUCUUGUAUUUUGUAGUUGCUUUGUAAUCUAUAUUUUGACAAAACAAGAAGUCUGACGUCUUGUAAAAAUCCAACAGACCAGCUUAAUGACUCUUGUGCUUUUUC